rnacentral:lncRNA from 1 species
UAAUCUCUAACGGCUUAUAUGGAAAUGCUCUCGAUUCCAGAAGCUUUUAAUUUUCUUCGUUUGUCUCCAUUUCCCUCCAUUAAUUACCACAGACUAUGUAGUCAACCAACAAUCUUGUUGUUUAUUGGUUCCUCGAUUAAAUUUGUCAAUUGAAGUAAUGCCGCAUUGGUUGUUCUUUUGUAGGAUAAUAAGAUCAAUGGUACUGGGAAGAGAGAAGAGAGCCAGAGGAGUAGG